UUCGUAUUAGGUCAUCGUUCCUCCCUGUGCUAGGGAUAAAACACAGAGAAACUUUCAGCUUUUAUAAAAUAACGAAGUCUGGCACGCGCUGGCUCUCU